AGGGUUUGAUCCUGGCUCAGGAUGAACGCUGGCGGCGUGCUUAACACAUGCAAGUCGAACGAACCUUCGGGUUAGUGGCGGACGGGUGAGUAACGCGUGAGAAUCUGCCCUCAGGAGGGGGAUAACGGUUGGAAACGACCGCUAAUACCCCAUAUGCCUAUUGGUGAAAUGAAUUUCGCCUGAGGAUGAGCUCGCGUCUGAUUAGCUAGUUGGUGAGGUAAUAGCUCACCAAGGCUUCGAUCAGUAGCUGGUCUGAGAGGAUGAUCAGCCACACUGGGACUGAGACACGGCCCAGACUCCUACGGGAGGCAGCAGUAGGGAAUAUUGCACAAUGGAGGAAACUCUGAUGCAGCGAUGCCGCGUGAGUGAAGAAGGCCCUUGGGUUGUAAAGCUCUUUCGUCGGGGAAGAAAAUGACUGUACCCGAAUAAGAAGGUCCGGCUAACUUCGUGCCAGCAGCCGCGGUAAUACGAAGGGACCUAGCGUAGUUCGGAAUUACUGGGCUUAAAGAGUUCGUAGGUUGUUAAAAAAGUUGGUGGUGAAAUCCCAGAGCUUAACUCUGGAACUGCCAUCAAAACUUUUUAGCUAGAGUAUGAUAGAGGAAAGCAGAAUUUCUAGUGUAGAGGUGAAAUUCGUAGAUAUUAGAAAGAAUACCAAUUGCGAAGGCAGCUUUCUGGAUCAUUACUGACACUGAGGAACGAAAGCAUGGGUAGCGAAGAGGAUUAGAUACCCUCGUAGUCCAUGCCGUAAACGAUGUGUGUUAGACGUUGGAAAUUUAUUUUCAGUGUCGCAGCGAAAGCAUUAAACACACCGCCUGGGGAGUACGACCGCAAGGUUAAAACUCAAAUGAAUUGACGGGGACCCGCACAAGUAGUGGAGCAUGUGGUUUAAUUCGAAGAUACGCGCAGAACCUUACCAACACUUGACAUGUUCGUCGCGACUUUAAGAGAUUAAAGUUUUCGGUUCGGCCGGACGAAACACAGGUGCUGCAUGGCUGUCGUCAGCUCGUGUCGUGAGAUGUUGGGUUAAGUCCCGCAACGAGCGCAACCCUCACUUUUAGUUGCCAUCAUUAAGUUGGGCACUCUGAAAGAACUGCCAGUGAUAAGCUGGAGGAAGGUGGGGAUGACGUCAAGUCCUCAUGGCCCUUACGUGUUGGGCUACACACGUGCUACAAUGGCAUUUACAAUAGGAAGCAAGAUGGCGACAUCAAGCAAAUCCUAAAAAGAUGCCUCAGUUCGGAUUGCACUCUGCAACUCGAGUGCAUGAAGCUGGAAUUACUAGUAAUCGCGGAUCAGCGCGCCGCGGUGAAUACGUUCCCGGGUCUUGUACACACCGCCCGUCACACCAUGGGAGUUGGUUCUACCUUAAGGCAAGGUUUAAAACCCUUGACCACGGUAUAGUCAGCGACUGGGGUGAAGUCAUAACAAGGUAGCCGUA
rnacentral:rRNA from 1 species